GAAACAGGCGUAACUUCUGAAUGAGAGAACUCUCGAGCGGCCCGGAGCUACUCAAGUUCUUGUGACAAAAGACGAACGAUGGCGACGGAAAAAGUCGGAAAGAUCCUUAAAGACAUCUACUAUGAUCAGUUCAAGUGGUCAGUGGUGAAGAACAUCGCUUUCUUCCUCAUCGGUGUCAAGAUCGCCGUUGAAUGCAACGGGAUGACUAUCAUGCCGCCAGUCUCCGUUUAAGCCUCCCUUCAAGUGACGUGAACCUGCUAUAAGAUCCAGAGAACUGUCCGAAUGCUCCAGCGAUUUCUUGCGUCUUGCACACUGCAGUUACAAUCGUUACGAGCAUGUAAUAGAUUUCAUCUGUACAAAACUAUGUAUAUUUUGUAUUUGAGACACACUUGUUAAAUAAUUAUUAAUAAACGAUGUAUACAGUA